UCCGGUGACUUUACCCUGCAGGAAACACACGUUCCCAUUCCGAACACGACCGUUAAGCUGCUGGGGCCCACGAUAGUGCCGAAAGGUGCGAAAAUAGGUCAUCGCCGGGA
rnacentral:rRNA from 1 species